AGUGAACGCUGGCGGUAGGCCUAACACAUGCAAGUCGAACGGCAGCACAGUAAGAGCUUGCUCUUACGGGUGGCGAGUGGCGGACGGGUGAGGAAUACAUCGGAAUCUACUUUUUCGUGGGGGAUAACGUAGGGAAACUUACGCUAAUACCGCAUACGACCUACGGGUGAAAGCAGGGGAUCUUCGGACCUUGCGCGAUUGAAUGAGCCGAUGUCGGAUUAGCUAGUUGGCGGGGUAAAGGCCCACCAAGGCGACGAUCCGUAGCUGGUCUGAGAGGAUGAUCAGCCACACUGGAACUGAGACACGGUCCAGACUCCUACGGGAGGCAGCAGUGGGGAAUAUUGGACAAUGGGCGCGAGCCUGAUCCAGCCAUACCGCGUGGGUGAAGAAGGCCUUCGGGUUGUAAAGCCCUUUUGUUGGGAAAGAAAAGCAGCAGGUUAAUACCCAGCUGUUCUGACGGUACCCAAAGAAUAAGCACCGGCUAACUUCGUG
rnacentral:rRNA from 1 species